rnacentral:tRNA from 1 species
CCGUCGAUAGCUCAGUUGGUAGAGCGGUGGACUGUAGAUCCAUAGGUCGCUGGUUUGAAUCCGGCUCGACGGA